UCUCUACCUUGCCGCCAUUGCCAGCGGCGGUGUGAAGCCCUGCAUCUCUGCCUUCGGGGCUGACCAAUUUGACGUCAAUGACCCGGUGGAGCUGGUGAAGAAGGGCUCCUUCUUCAACUGGUACUUCUUCCUGACCACCACCAGCUCCCUGCUGUCUGGGACCGUCAUUGUUUGGCUGCAGGACAACGUUGGGUGGGCAGUCAGCUACGUGAUACCGACAGUGCUCAUGCUCAUCUGUUUCCCUGCAUUUUUAGCUGGCUCCAGGGUAUACAGGUUUAGGAAAAUGGGAGUAAGCCCUCUUACCAGCAUACUUCAAGUGGUUGUUGCUGCUGUCAGGAAGUGGCAUGUCAAACUGCCGGAUGAUAGCUCGCUUCUAUAUGAGCAGGCCAGUUCACCUUCUACAACUGAACAUAAGAACAAGCAUACCAAUCAGUUCAGGUGAUUCUGUUUUUACUUUUUACAUACAAAGUGCAAAUCAAUAAAAAUAAUGUAGAGUCAAAUUAAAUCGACACGACAUCUAGAGAAACUGUUUCCACUGAACAAACAUGAUUCUUGUCAACCAUGAUGUUCUUCAGGUUCUUUGACAAGGCUGCCAUUGUCCCAUCGGGCAACGAAUCCACGGCGCAGUCGAGUCCAUGGAGGCUCUGCACAGUGACACAGGUCGAGGAGCUAAAGAUGCUGCUCUCGACGCUCCCAACCUGGGCGUCGUUCUUGGUCUUCUACGCAGUCACGGCUCAGAUGCAGUCGACGAUGAUCGAGCAAGGCAUGCUCAUGGAUAACCACGUUGGCUCGUUUGCCAUCCCACCGGCAUCCAUGCCCAUCAUUGGUGUGCUCAGCUUCCUCAUCUGUGUCGCCGUCUAUGAAACCAUCCUGGUGCCACUAGCGCGGCGCUUCACCGGGAACGAGAAAGGCUUCUCCCAGUGGCAGCGCCUUGGAAUCGGCCAAGCUCUGUCCAUCCUGACAAUGGCGCUCGCUGCUUUGCUGGAGACAAGGAGGCUGGAGAUCGCGGAAGCCAACGGCCAGGAGGUGCCGGUGCCAAUGAGCAUCCUGUGGCAGGGCCCAGUUUUCUUUGUGCAUGGUGCGGCCGAGAUGUUUGGUUCCAUUGGCAUGACCGAGUUCUUCUAUGACCAAGCCCCGGUGACCAUGAAGAGCCUGUGCGCAGCGUUCGGGCAGCUCGCGAUCGCUUCCGGGUCUUACCUCAACACAGCCGUGCUCAGCGUCGUCGCAUUCGGCACAACACGCGGCGGCGAAACCGGAUGGAUUCCAGACAACCUCAACGAAGGCCAUCUCGACUAUUUCUUCUGGAUGAUGGCAGCUCUUAGCUUGCUCAACUUAGCUCUGUUUGUGCGUUACUCAAUGAGGCAAAGAGGCAAGGAAACUUAAGAUAAGAGGCACUGAGCAAGACAUUGGUUUAUUAUAAUUCAGGAAAAUAUGAACAAGGCAGACCAUGGAAGAAGCUAUAUAUAUGGACAAAUUACUCAUAAAUAGUAGCAUUGUACAGUGGGGCGCUGGGAACCAAUACUGGAGAAGUGGCCAAGGCACCCAGGCCCAAGAGACUCCUCAAGCCCAAUACCAAUUACCAAAGUUUACCAGAGUAACUAUAUAUGAUGAGAGGAGUGUGGAGAGAGAACAUAUGAAAAUUUGUAUCCAAAACUCGAACCAAUAUUCAGCACUGUCCUCUGCCGAAUCUCUCUUUUUUUCUCUCUCUAUCCCCCCUUUCUUCUUCCGUGUUCUUUCCUCUGUUAUUUGCUAACAAUUGGUAUCGUCUUCCUCGAUUUUGACUUUGGACUCCCAUCCACCUUACCACCACUAUUCAUGUCUCUAGCGUGCUCAUGGUGCCAUAGAUCUGGCUCUACAGCUCGUCCUUGACACCAGGAACAAUCGCUUCGAUGAGCUCAACUACCGCUUCAAUGACCGCGACCGCUACUUCGCCCCCGUACCACCGCUGUAGAUUCGUGGCUUGAGACGCUAGAGGCCUCAUACACAGCCAACACUGUAGUGCUCGAGCAGCAUCUGGCUGGUUUGGAGUCAUGCGGCUUCAAUACGGCAUCUGUCGCAGUACCCACCGUUGUGGACAACUGGCUCACCAGUCUGGAAACCAACUUCAUCGACCGUGACACCGAGUUCACCUAGUGUCUCACUGAUCUAGAGGUCAUCCAUGUUGCUCACAUCAAGGAUAAGUGCGAUGAGCACGUGGCCACACUCAAGGCGUGAUGGGCGUUCUGACCUCCUAGCAGCGAGGCAUGGAGGCCGUGUUGGACGACAUCAACUUGGAAGUCUAGAAGUUGAUUCGCCAUUAGGACCGUGCGGUGUUGAACAAAACAUCUUAGCAACCCAGUCUGCUUCGUUCUCCUACAUGGUGGCCACACACUCACCUGAAGGGUUCACCGUCAGUGGGUCUAAUGUCACAAUGACAAAUCGACUACAUGGGAUGUGGGUUCCGAGGUCAUCACGACCCAGAUGCAUAUCCCAACCAAGGGUACAUUGCCAGCUCCCUUCACAUCUGCUCUGAGUUCGCUUGUUUUGUGUUUGCGAGGUCCACUUGCCUCCUAUCAUUGUUCCUCCCCAUCCUCUUCCUAUUCCACGUCCACCAGAUCCACCUCAGCCUCUCUCACCUGUUGGUCACCUUCCUAAAAUCCCAUUCCCCAAAUUCAAUGGAGAUAAUCCCCAUUUCUGGUGUUCUAAGUGUGAGAAAUACUUUUCCACGUUUCGGGUUAAGGAGUCAUUGUGGGUUGAGGUUGAGUUUAUGCAUUUCGAGAGUGUUGUAGCGUGUUGGUUCCAAUUCAUUGAGUCCCACCUAUCACAAUCCACUUGGUCCACAUUCGGUAGGUCUUUGCAUGAUCGGUUGGAAAGGGAUCGACAUGAGGUUCUUAUCCAACAAUUGUUCAAUGCUCGCCAAUCUUCUUGUGUACUUCAACAUGUCAACCAUUUUUCUCUGUGCUCAUGGACCAGCUCUCAGCUUAUUCCACCUCUAUUGAUCCCUUGUAUUUCAUUAUGAGAUUCAUGGAUGGGUUUAGUGUGGAGAUUUGUUGUAUUGUGUUGAUGCAACACCCCAAGGAUUUUGAUACUGCUUGUACUUUGGCACUGUUGUUUUAGUAGGUGGGCACUCCCUCUGACUCCAAGCCAUUGAAGACCGAUGAUUGGCCAUUUUCAUCAAAGUUCACCAUGGCUUCUAAGGUGACUUAUCCCCUAGACAACUCAUCCAAUGCUUCUUCUUCACAAGCGGUGACUCUAGCUCAAGCUCCUUAUGCCAAACUGGCUAUUGUGCAUGCUUAUUGGUGUGUGAUGGGUUUAUGUUACAAGUGUGCCAAUAAAUGGAGCAAGGAUCAUAACUGCUCCAUAGAGGUGCUAAUUGUAGUGCAAGAAUUGCGGGAGUUGUUGCCUGAUGAACCUAAAUAAUCUAAAACACUCGAGAAAUCUACGACAAUUGAAGUAAGGAUGUUCACAAUCUCUAAAGCUACUGCUCUAGGUUCCCUAGAUUCUCACACCAUUCAUCUAUCUGAUUCCUUGUGUGGUGUUCCAAUAUUGAUCUUGGUGGACUUUGGAAGUUUAGUGUCAUUCGUCAAUGCUGCCAUUGCUAGUCAGCGGUUGGUUUUUAGUUUGUUGCUGCAAUAGUCGGUUGUUCAAGUUGCUGAUGGGGGUAUGCUAUAGAGCUCUGGCCUUCUUCAAUAGGUACCACGACAAGUAGAUCAAGGCUUGUGUUUGAUUUCAGAUUAUUGCCGUUGGCUUCUGUAAGUGCAUUAAGCCACUUAAUGUGUUUUGGUUGAUAGAAUGACAACCAUGAUUAAAGGAACUAAUGAUCUUGCUAAGUGUGAAACAGGAAAAAGCUAUCUCACAGGUAUUUGAUCCAAGAUUACAAAAGCCAAAAUUAUGCAUUGUUAUAUGAAGCAAUCUAGUUCAAGCACAAAACAACAUUGCAAAUGGAAUUAUUGAAAGAGGCUUACUUGUUGUGAAGAUAGCUAUCACUCUUAUGAAAGCAAAAAUGAAAAGUAUAAAAUUGAUUGGAUGAUUCAAAGCAACAUAUGACUUGAAGUAGUAAAUGGAAAUGACUUGGUACAUUUGAAGUCAAAUCUAUUUAUUGAUGGAACCAAGUUAUGUGCUCAAGAUGGCUAUGCUCAAAAUGAAAACAAGUUUGACAUGAUGACAUCCUCAGCUUAUCAAGAAUUGAAAGAAAGGCUUUGGUUUGAUGGAAGCUUCUUAAGUGAUUUCAAUUUGAUUUAUCUUUUGAUCUUGAGUUGAUAGGAAAGCCGUACUAUUAAGAGGGAUGCAUCAUGAUCAUGGAUUAAUACUCUCUAGUGCUCAAGUCAACCCAUGUGAGGUUUUAGAGAGACUAACCUGAGAGUUGAACUCUUUGUGCACAGGCCGUGCAUACCGGACGUGUCCGGUAUGAUACCGGACGCGUCCGGUAUGAGUACUGUUGCGCAUACUGACUUUUUGAGUUGCGGUGACAAGGGAGUUGUUCUAAGUGCGCGUCAGCACUUCCGGUGCUCGUCAGUAGUGCUGACUUGCCGGAAGUUCCGACGUACGUCGGGAGUUCCGACGUAGGCUUCACCGUGGUAGGGAGUAGCAAGCUAAUAGGGGUAAGUCUUUUGGCCUCGAUCAUAUCGGACGUGUCCGGUAUGAUACCGGACGCGUCCGGUAUGGCCAACGGCUAGUUAACGGCUAGUUUUUAAAACUGUCUUUAAAUACCCCUCAGCCCUCCUCUUUGAGGGCUGCUGAUUCUACUGGUUUGGUGACACAUUGCUGAGCUUUGCUAACUCUCCACAACCCUCUCUUUGUGAGUGUUUGGUCUAGAUUGACAAAUCCUUCUUGUGGGUUGAAAGAUUUUCGGUUUUGAGAGCAAGCCACCACUUGAGCACUUGAGCAUAUUGUCUAUUUCGUGAUUUGCAUUUGUUACUCUUGGACUCUUCGGUCCUAGAUGGUUAGGCGUCGCUGGAGAGCACCCAAGUGUUUGUGGUUGCCUCGGAUUGUUUGUGCAGGUCGGAUUUCGCCUCCGCAAGGGAAGAAAUCAUCUAGUGGAAGGAGGAGUUGGAGUUGGAAGAGACUCCGGCUAGAGUUACCUUCGCGGUAUUCUCUAGGGAGGAUCUUUGAGCUAGAGUGACCUUAGUGGUAUCCUCUAGGUCAUCGAGUGCCUUACCCGUAGCCCCCUCAACGGAGAUUAGGUCUCUACGGAGACCGAACUUCGGUAAAACAAAUUUUGUGUCUCCCUUUGCAUUACAUUUGAAAUUUGUGUCUUAUAUCUUGUGUGAGCUACUCUGCAGGGUUCUAGUAUCAUAUAUACUGUGAUUGAGGUUCUUGCAGGUAGAGGAAGAAGUUUCACAGCACAAGGAUUGAAUAUCCUCUACUCGUGAAUUCCGGACGCGUCCGAGAUCAAGCCGGACGUGUCCGAGUUGGACAGCACAGCACUUCUUAUAUAAAUUGUAUUAUCUGUGUUGGAUACCUUUUUGUAGGGUGUUGUAUUUCUAUACAUCAUCGUAUAAGCUGUGUGUAGGUUUUGGAGAAGCUGGAGAACAGAAAGAGCUAGGUGUUGUGUGCUCGUGUAUCUCGGACGUGUCCGAGUUGAUACCGGACACGUCCGGUAUUUGCGAGUUGUCAAUAAUAUUUCUUUCUGCGAUCUAAUCUCUGUGGUGCAGGUGUUAGACUUAUUUAAUAUUGUUUACAACUGUUUCUCUGAUUAUCUUUGUGCGGAGUUUUUCAUUUGCGUGGAAAACUCUAGUUCUAAUCGUUUCCGCUUUUUAAGUUGUAAAUUUUCAGAAUCGCCUAUUCACCCCCCCUCUAGGCGCAUCCUUGGUCCUUUCAGCUUCUCAUGAUGUAAUUGUUGGCACGGAUUGAUUAGCCUCCUUAAGCCAUAUGCACAUCCAUUGGCCACAGAAGUGGCUACUCAUUCCCUACAAAGACACUCAUAUAGUUCUCUGUUUAUGGUAGUCAUUGAUUAUUAUAAACCGUAAACUUUUGCAUAUAAAUGAUCACUGAUAGAAACUUAGGGGUUUUAACUGACAAUUUCCAUAAGUUUUGUUAAAUUAUAUUUUUCUCCAAGGUUAUUCCAGAAUAUAAAACGAGGAUUAAAGCAUCAAAUAGACCAAAACAAGGAGGAUUAAAAUGUCAAAUAGAAUGAAACUUAACCAUGGAAAUCUAAUUUAGAAGACUCGAGAAGGCAUGAGAAGACUUCACACUUGAGGAGAACCCAAAGGGCUAUCUGGUGAGACUAGUCAGCCCCACCCCUAUCCCGACCCCCCCCCCAACAGAUGGGUUAUGCCACUAUAUUUUGGAAGGUUCCUCCACUCCCUCCUAAGAUGCAUCUUCACCGUUUCUUAGGUCGGUUUGAUCCAAGGGCCAAUGUUCUCUCCACCGACCUAUAAAACCAGACCUGACCUCGGCCCCCUAGGGCAUAGAUGCAACGCAUAGGUGCAAGAAGUCUAGAAAUUAGGGUUUCUAGAGAUUAGAGAGAAAGCUCUAGUUCUUCAAUUUCUUAUUAGUAUAUGCUUUCUAGCAAGGUUCAAGCAGAGUUGGGCAAGUUGCUUGGGAUUACAGGUCUGUUCGUGUGGAGACUGGUAAUUUACCACUAUAUAUAUUUAAGACUUUGCUCCAUUUUAAUAUUAUAUUACUAUUUAUUAUGUUCUUAGUUUGUUCUAGUUAUAUAUUUGAUAUGGCUAUAAUUGAUGAUAAGUAUAUAUGCAUAUGUUCGUAGAGAGUUCAAUCUAGUACUUCAGUGGGUUAAGUAGUACGUAUUAUAUAAGAGUGGUGCUUAGGUAUUAUUUACCUAUGGAUGCACUCUAUAUGCUGGGCCACGUGGUAGAUCGUGGCUAUGACAAACUUGUUGAGUCCUCUUAGUCCACUCCCCAUAAGUAGAAGUAGAAUCAGGUCAUGAAGGAGGAGAGGACUCUGUUUCCAAUCCUCCCUAGUUGAUAUUUCAUAUGCUAUAUUCAAAGCUAGUUAUGCUAUAAAUGAGAGUAUAUAGUCUUGAGUGUGCAUAAGACUUAGUAUUUAGGAAUGACUUAGGAAUCCUUCACUCUAACCGAAUCUCAAGCUUAGCCUUACUAUAUUAAACUAGGAGAAUACCCCGCGCGUUGCUGCGGGAAUACAGAUUAGUGGAUUGCAUGGCAUGAUGAUAUGGACAAACAAAUAGGUAUGUGUCUUGCUCAUGUGGACAUUAGAAUUGAUGGCUAGUGGAUUUUAGUUGUGUGUGAUAGUGCAUUACUUUGUUGCUUGCAUGUUGAGAGAAAUAUAGUGACUUACUAAUGUAGACACUAUAAUUGCAUGGGCUAGUGGAUUUUUAAUUGUAUAGGAUAGUGGGUUGCUUAGUUAGAUAACUUGCAUGUUGAGAGAAAUAGAUAGUGGGAUUUAGCUUAGCCUUACUUUGAUAGUGCAUUACUUUGUUGCUUGCAUGUUGGAAAAAUCAAGUUGCCCAAAUGAAAGUUUGCUCAAUCACCAGUUAUUUAUCUCGGCCCAACAAUCAAUGCUAUUGGGCUAUCCACAUAUCUUUCUGAAGUUCAGGCUAUUGUUGGCUAGCCCAUGCCUACCUUAGUGCGUGCCUUGCAUAGUUUCCUCAGCCUUAUCAGAUACUACUGUAAGUUUGUGCAUCAUUUUUGGGAUAAUUGCCAAACCUCUCACUGAACUAUUGAAGGAUGUUCAUAUGGACUUCAGCUCAUGACUCUCCCUUUUAGACAUUGAAGCAAGCUCUCUAUUUGGCUUUGGUCUUAGGUCUCCUAGACUUUUCAAUGCCCUUUCAUGUUGAGACAAACUUAUGCUUGUUAGAUAAAACAAUCACUCAAACAUCAAACUUGGACACAAGUGAAAGUUGUAUCCAUUUCAUGAUCACACUAUACAUGUCAGAGAGGGUAUUUCACUACUACAAAAAAUCUUUUGCGAGACAUUUUGAAAUAGCCCUUGGGGACAGGCAAGAUUUUCAACCGCCUCGGUUAAUGCCUACCAUUAACUGAGGCGGUCAUUUUCUAUUAACCAAGACAGUUAUGAUAACUGCAUCACAAAAUUGAUUAACUGAGGCGGACACCUUAAAAAUGCCCGCGUCGGUUAAUAUCAAUUAAUUGAGGUGGUUGUUCUAACACAAACAUCUCAGUUAAUAUAUUAACCGAGGCGAGCAUAUUGUAAAACCGCCUCAGGUAAUAUUGGUCCAUUUUAGAGCCCAAACUAGCCAUCUCGGCCCGAUAGCAUGCUCAACAUAUAUAUACCGCACUUAGCCACUCAGGGUUUCAACCCACUCCCUCCUCAGCCGCCCCCUCCCCUUUCCCCACACACGGAGGCCGACGCACGGAGGCUGCUCCCUCUCAUAGAGCUCGACUCACCCCCUCCCUUCUCCUCCCUCUACUCCCAUGGUACCCCCUCCCUUCUUCUCCCUCUCCCCUACCUCACCCUCUCCUCCCAUGGUGCCCUUGGAAGGAGGCCACACAGUCGCCGGGAUGCAGGUCACCUCACAGCUAGCUCAGGGUCUCCUCCCUCUCCCUCUCCAUCUCCUCUACAUCUCCCUCCUCCCUGCAGGUGGCAGUGCGGGUCCACGGUGCCGCACGACCAUGCGGCACGACGAGGGCAUUCGGGGUGGAGCUCGAUCUAGCGAGGAGUCGCUCGAUUGAGUGAUGAGAAGGACAGAUCCAGUGAGGUAGGGCUUGAUCUGGCGAGGAGAUGCCCGCAUCUGGCUCGGUGAAGCUCGAUCUGGUGUGCUCGUGCAGCAGCGGUGCUUGAUGUCGAUGUAGAUUUGGCCAAUGAACAAUGAUGCUUGGAUGGGCUCGGUGGGCUCCUCAAUGGGCUACGCGAGCCUAUCGAUGGAUUUUCUUUUUUUUCUUUUUUUAUUUGAUUAACCAAAGUGGGCAGCAAACCACCUCGGAAAAGGUCAUAUUAACCGUGACCUUUGAUCCGAGGCGGUUGCAAAAACUGCCUCGGUAGCCUUUUUGCCCGCCUCGGUUAAAAAUAAUGUACUAGUGUUUAUAGAGGUUUUAGCCUUCAUGUCUACAUACAAAUGACCAUUUUACCCCUAUAUUUAAUCAGUACAACCCCGUUAAACAAAAGGCGCAAAGUAGUCUUUUUCACUCUUGUAUGAUUCACUCUUCAACAUAUACUUGCCAAUAUUUUGGAAGACGUCAUCUUCACACUUUAGCAAUUCUUGUUUUAUCUUCUUCUGACUUUGCCUACCAAUCGAAGUCAAAAUUUUGUCUCACUUCCAACUUGCUCUAAUCUUCUCUUCAUCUGCAGCAAAGUUAAAUCUACUCGAGUGAAGUCAAAACAUCAUCUUCAUUUUUUGCUUUCCAAUACUCCAAAGUUCUGGUGCUGAGUUUUUCUAAUGAAGUCAAAUCCCCAACAAUGCUAUGACUGUAGGGCCACCCCUUGGCUUUCAUCAGCAAAGGCAUAAAAUUAGUCCUUGCAAUCAAGGGUUGUCUAUCGAAAAGGAGGAGUAUCUCGUGAUAAUGAUGGUAGUAGAUCAGUGGCAUCACUACCUCAUUCAGUUCUUGAAACAUAAAUUGCAUUGGCCUCAUUAAAAAAGAAAAUUAAAACAAAUGAUGAUCAUUGAACCAUGGAAUGGAAUAUGGAUAAGUCCAGCCACACAUGGCUCUCCGAGAUGGCAAAACCAAUUAGACGGUAGCUAACGCACCCGUCACCGCUAUCUCAGCCUCCACAAUAAACGGUCAUGGCUAGUGUGCUCAUUGCUUGAUCUCCCAUCAAUACCCUUCAGGCCAUCACUUAUAUCUGGCCAUGCGGCCCAUGGCAUGGCCUUUUGGAAUGGCCCAUGGGCGGCACGACACGUCAGGCUGUGUGCCCCGUGCUGGCACGCCCUGGUGGCCAGUGUCGUGCCUAGGCCGUUGGCCUAGCCCAUGACAAGGCAUGGACACGACCCACCUCUCAGUGCGUAUAUAAGCCCACCGUGUCGGCCCUCCCCCCAAUCCCUAACCCUAAUCUCAUUUCCCCUCCUCUGGCCGCUGCUCAGUCUCGCUCUCCUGUUGUAGUGUCGCACUCUCCUGUCUCCUCUGACUCCGAUCCGAUUCUGAUCCGCUGCCGCCGGUGGCCUGCUUGCCUUGAGCUCUCAGGCCCUGCUCCGGUGACCUCAUCGGCUCACCUUGCCACUCCUCCCUCCCCUACCUCCUUUCCCUUGCCUCCUCCAGUCCUCCUCCUCAAGUGUACCAUAUGAGUCCUCCUGUACGUUCUUCCACCGCCGCUCGCCAUCAGUCUAACAGUGGCUGUCUUGUUCUUUGCUUUGAUGCUGGCUCCCUAGCCUCUUUUCCGGCAUUGGGCUCCGGUGGCAUAGGUGAGUCGACUCAAAACCCUAACCCUAGCAUGUUCAUAUUUUGGGAUUCCUAAUUCAUCUAACCCCUAAUCCCUAUUCUUGUUCAUCUUCUUCGUAGGUUGCCGAGGUUGGUGCCUAUGCAUGACGCUGAGUCAUCCUCCUCUAGAGGAGCCAUGGCAAGGCCACCAAAGCGCACAUGUCCACUAUCAAGGGACGGUGUUGGAGUUGCUACUAGGGGUCAGAACCAGCCUUUCCUCCCUCCAUCGGCCACAACGAUGAUGCUAGUGGCUGCGCAUGUGUACAACCACCAUAGCAAUGAUGAGCACCUUGAGACCAAGGAGGAGCUGGAGAUAAAAAACAACGACGACAUCCACGAUGGCACAGAUGCGCUGUUCGACAUCGAUCUGCGUGACGGCUCAAACCCGAUCGAUCUCGACGAUGGCAAUGCUAGGGUGGACGGCUCCGAGGACACUAAUGCUGCCUCAUCUGGUAAGCACACUUCUGCUUGUUGGGAGGAUUUUGUCUCGAUCUUUGAUGAGAAUAAGGUUAGAACUCAUGCCAUUUGUAAAUUGUGUGGUAAGAAAUUUGCUGCUAGAGCUUCGAUUGGCACUGGAUCCUUGAAUAUAGGCACAUGCAUUCUUUGCUGCCUGCUUGUUUAUCUGUUUCUUUAACAUCUGAUAUCUAGUCUGGUAAUGCUAAGGAGAAUUGUAUCUCUAUUGUUGCUCAUUAUGUUGGUGCUAAUUGGGAGUUGCAUAAAAAGGUUAUUGGUUUUAGGCUCAUUGAGGCAUCACAUACUGGUGAAAAUAUUGCUGAGAAAAUUGCUUGUGUGGUUGAGGAGUUUGGUUUGAUUGAUAAGGUCUUUGUUGUGAGUCUGGAUAAUGCUUCAGCUAAUUCUAAGGCUUUUGAUAUCUUGCAACCUCUCUUAUUUGGUUACAUGGGCUCUUAUCCUACACCUACUCGUGAGAAUCCUCACAAAGUCAAGCACUUGCUUGUGCAUCAACGCUGUGUAUGCCAUAUUAUUAAUCUGAUUGUUAAGUCUAGCUUAAAGAGGUUCAAUCCUUAUCUUGAAAAUUUUAGGACUGUAAUAAAUUUUUUUGAAUUCCUCUAAUCAAAGAAUUGCAUUGUUAAAAAAUUAUUGUAUUGCUAAGGGUAUUAGACCUAGAAAGUUUAGAUUGGAUAUGGAUGUUAGGUGGAAUUCCACCUAUUUGAUGCUUAAACAUUUGCUGCCAUAUAAAGAUGUGUUUUCUGUGUGGAUUGAGUCAAAUUAUGGUUAGGCAUUGUUGACUCCCCAGCAUUGGUAUGCUACUGAAUUAUGAAAAUCCUGGAGUUGUUUUAUGAUGCAACUUGUGUGUUGUCUGGUGUUUACUAUCCCACUGCUCCACUUAUGAUGCAUCAUAUCCUUGACUUUGCUGAGCAUUUGCAUACAGCUGAAAAUGAUGCUAGCUUUAGAAGUAUUGCAGCUCCUAUGAAACUUAAGUUCCUUCAGUAUUGGGAGAACAUUCCAUUGUUGUAUUCUUAUGCAUUCAUUCUGGAUCCUAGAGCUAAGAUGAAAGGCUUCUUUAAUGUGCUUGAGUUACUUGCUAAACAUACUGGUACCUCUUAUAGUCUUCACUAUGGUGAUGUGAAAGACGAAAUAACCAGAUUAUUUAGCAAGUAUGAGCAGAAAAUUUGAUGCAGCUCAGUCUGAAAGGCCUCCUAUGCCUAGUGCUCCUUCUGGUAAAAGGAAGCAGGCAUGGGAAAAGAUCUAUGGUGGUCCUGGUGCUUCCUCUAGCUGUUUCCCCUCUUCAUCUUCUAUAACUGGUGUCAAUGAGCUAACAACAUACUUGGACAGUGACCCUGUCACUGAUUGGGGAGAGUCCUUUGACAUACUAUUAUGGCAGCGUGGCCACAAGCUAACCUAUCCCAUCUUAUCGAUAAUGGCUAGCGAUAUCAUGUUUAUUCGUGUAUAUACUGUGUCUUCUAAGUCUUGUUUCAGCUGUACAGCAAGGAUACUCGAAGACCGGCGGCGGUGCUUGUUGCCAAAGAGCAUGUGGAGAUGCUCACCUACAUCAAGGACUGGGACCAAGCAGCAAGAAAGGAAUAGCAUGCACCUGAGGACGUCGACCUGGAGAAGUUUUCGACAAUUUGUUGCUAGAUGAAGGCGAAGGAAGCGGAAGCGGCAGUGGUGGUACUUCUGGUGCUAGUGGGUAGAAGAAGAAUAAAAAGGAGAGGUAGUCAUCACUAAAUUGUUUACAUUUACAUCUUCAAGUUCCAUCAAUGAUUCACCGAGACUUGUUCCAUUUUGCAGGUAGUUGUACUUUUGGUAGUGGUUGUCACCUGUCAGGCAUAGUCACCAUGUGAUGAAGCUUGGACUUGAAGCAUGAAGAAGUAUGAAUAUUUGCUGCUUCUUGUUGACACUAUUGGGCUUUUGUAAUAGGCUAGAAGAACAUUUAAGGCUUCUUGUUGUGAAGUGAACUCAUUUGCCACUGAUGUUGGCUAUUGUAGUAGGAUAGAACUAAGACUUGUGAUUGUGAUUUGUGAACUUUGAGCUGGCUGUACUCUUUUUCUUUCUAGGUUUCUCACAAGGGUGAGUUUUUAACAAUGCAGCAUUACACAACAACUCCUUUGGUAAUCAUUUUCAUAUAAUCUUGUCUUUGUGUGUUGUUCUUUGUCUUUGUGUGCUAUUUCUUUGAAGUUUGAAACUUUGAACUGAACUGAUAUGAAAAUGAAGAAGUGCUUUGAAGUUUGAACACUUGUGAAUUUCCUAUUGAGAUUGAGUUUUGUCUCGGCUGACGGGCCACGGGCAGGCAUGGCACGGCAAAAAUGGCCAUGGACCAUGGGCGGCACGGCACGGGAAAUUGGCCCAUGGCAUGGCCAGGCACGACACGGCGGCCCGACGCGACACGACACAGUGCCGUGCCGGCACGACAUGGUGGCCAUAUAUACCAUCACUCGUGCUUCCACGACCCACUUGCGUUGUGUGCUACUUCCUCCGCAUCAUUACGGCCAAGGGAGACCUCGUGAUAGGCUGCGUCCUCACGGUCAAGGCGCCUCACUGAGCUGAGCAUGUCAUGGUGGGACGGGUAGGGUGGGGCGGGGGCUUGGAUAGCGGCGCAUCAAUGGAGCAGGAGGUUUGCAUUGGUGGCAAAACACUGUGUGGUGAGGGUCGAGGAAACGCAAGCCACACAUUUGACGCAAAAAGUUCUGGAAAAUGCUUCUCUUCGGUGUAGGGAGCCAAAAUUCAAUACUCAAUGAAUGCCUAAGUAAAUGUGUGGCAAGCCUAACUUUAUGCAUGGCAAAUAGUACCAGGCAACCAAACAAACUCUAAGUAAAUGUGAAUAUGAUCGAUUGCUAUUGCACAAGAUCCAAUUUUGAGGCCUGAUAUAAAAAAUUUCUAAGUAAACUUAGAUGCGAAGGAUUACUACUUACACAAGAUCAAAACAAGUUUGAAACGAGGGCAUAAGAGUUGAAAGCUUAGUAUUUAUAGGUCUCUUAGUCUUACUGUUUUUUUUUUGUGUAGGCUUAGAGUUAGACUCUUAUAAACUUUGGCCGUGUAUAUCCAAUAAUUCAUUGUGGAUAUAGAUGCUAGAUUUCUAUCUAUUAUCUAAAAAUAUACUUUCACUGUAACAAGAUAAAUGCACUAUGUCGCUUCUCGAAGAGUCAAACCUUUUAAAUUUUGAUCAAAUAUAUACAAAUUAAACAUACUCCCUCUAUACUGGUAUUAGAAGUUGUUCAGGACAUGAUUGCGCGUAUCAAGGAGUGCCAAAGAACGAUUAAUUAUGGGUUUUUUUCUUUUUUUCUGUUAUUAAAUAAGGCUGUUGGUGUCCUUAUAUAACAGUUUUCUGUAGCAUGGUAAGCGCUCCACGCCCCGAGGCUGGUGAUCCAGCGUUUGAACCUCUUGGCUAUAAUAUAUGUUUUGAUUUCCGAUGGCGCGUGGCUGCGCGAAUUUUUUUUGUUCGCUCGUUUGUUUUGCUUGGGUGCGUCAUUUUCGUUCGUUUUGUGCUCACCGUGCAGCAGGUCUGACGGCUCGACUGUCUCCUGCAUUAAAGUGCGGCGCGGAAGCCGAAGCGCGACGGGCAGCCGCAUCCAAUUCUUCACUCGGACGCCAGAACAACUUCUUUUGAUUUAUUUUCUGCGACGCCAGAACGACCUCUAAUAUCAGUACGGAAGGAGUAUACUAAUAUAUUUAUAAUGUAUAAUAAAUAUCAUUGGAUAGAAUAUGAAAUAUGCUUCCCUAGUAAGCUUAAUUAUUUGAUGAUACAAUUAUUCAUAUUAUUCUCUAUAUUUCUAGUUAAACUAAAAUAAAUUUGGCUUCAGAAGUGAGAUGUGCAUUUAUUUUACGAGAAAGGGAGUAACUCACAAGGUCGGGAGUAAGUUAGAAGUGAGAUGUCCAGUAAUUUCUAGUUAAAGUAAUUACUGGAUGUGGGUGAGAGGUGGGAAGCGGAAUUAAUUGAAAGUUCCGCAUGCGUGUGCUUGCGUAGGAGGAACAGAAUAAAGCAAAAUAGAAAAUGUGAAAGCCAUCGUUUCCUUUAUGAUACGGACCGAUCUCGACAUCAGUACUUUGCCAAUUUUGUUGGGUACCAAGAUAUCAGCUAGCUUCAGUGGAGAGCGACGUUUCGUCUGUCAUACUCAUACGGCGUUAAAACCCAUGCGCUAAUCAACCGUACUGAUUUAGUACGAUACAGCAGUCGCUAGGUUUGGGGACGAAAUUACGACUUCGCGAAAGCAGCCACUGUACAGGUACCCUCUCCUUGUAAUAACUGUACUGUACUUAGCAUCCCUCUAAUCACAUCACAACAAUGCUCUAUUUUCAAAGGGGACAAAAUGUCCUACCAAGAUACGUGUCCUGAUCAAAAGAGCAGCCAAGCAGCUCUCUAUCAUCUGCAUCAAAAGUACUCUGCCGCGCAGUGAAAGCUUUGCUGCAGAGCCUGCAGUGCAGGCUCCGUUUUCUCAAAUUGCUUGAAAAGAGCUCUCAGAAGAUGAGAAGUUUUUUCCUUUGGUAUAUAUAGUAUUUAAAGCUAUAGAAACUAUGAUAGUUUCAUGUUAGCACUGCUCUAAUGACCAGGAGAAAUUGCGUCCCUACAGGAUGUGAGAAGGGUGGAACAAAAUGGAGCAAAAUUAAAAAUGCCAAGCCAUCGUUUUCGUAAUGGUAUGGACCGGUGGUUCUGGUCUCGACAGUAGCACUUUGCCUAUUUUGUUGGCUACCAUGAUAUAUCAGUUUCAUUACAGCGAUAUUUCGCCUUCCAUUCGGGCCGCACGUGCCGGCCUUGGCCUGGACAAUCAAUCACCCACCGCGCUAUUUGCCCUACUAGUGUUAGUGGUGCUUGACAUGCCCUAAAAAACGCUGCCAGUUGAGCAGCAAAAUCUCCAAUAUUCCGGAGGAUCCCAGGCAACCACCUUCUUGUAAUAAUCCCUCGCCUUGUCUUGUAAUAACUGAUACUUAGUGUCCCUCUAAUUACCAUCAAUGCAAAUCACUGUGUUCUUUUCCAAAGGGAAACACAAUGUCCUACAAACAGGACACCCGUCCUGAUCAAAAGAGCAGCCAAAGCACCUUUUUUAUCAGCUGCUUCAAAAAGUAUUCUGCCGCGCACUAAAGGCUCGAUCUCCUGCAGAGCCUGCAGACUCCAUUCCCUCAGUGAAAGCUUUGCUUCGAAAGAGCUCUACUGCCAUGGAAGCAGGAGAUGAGGAGAGACCCCUCCUUCAUCUCCAUCCUUCUCCUCAGGUAACUCUCUUUUUCCCCCCUUUGGCCUAGCUAUAGUAGAGUACUAUGUUUUCAUUACAGCCUCAGACAGUAAUUUAUCACAGUAGAUAACCACAGGUUUUGUUAAUUGCGAACUGAAUCCCGAAACUCAGUCAUGUCAUGCAGGGUGCAACUUCAGAAUAUACAAGAGAUGGAUCAGUUGAUAUCAACAAGCAGCCUGCUCUCAAGCACAGCACAGGGAAAUGGAGGGCAUGCUUCCUCAUCUUAGGUACUCCCUCCAUUCCAAAUUAUAAAUUGUUUUGGCUUCUUAUAUAGGAAUAUAUUACUUUUGCUAUACACCUACUAAAUACUCUCUUCAUCCCAAAUUAUAAGAUAUUUGACUUUUUUUACUCAAGUUUGAUCACUCGUCUUAUUCAAAAUUUAUGGACAUAGGAAAGUCAAAAUGACUUAUAGUUUGGCAAAAGCUAUGCUGAUAGGAAAUUCAAAACGACUUGUAAUUUGGAGCGGAAGGACUACUAGUAAAGAGCAGCUCACGAUGUCCAAAUUGCUCCUGCUCUUCCUUUCUUUAUAAUUCUGCAUAACAGCUAGUUAACUGAUUGAACAUCAUGGACUUAGGUGUUGAGUUCUGCGAGUGCAUGGCUUUCUUCACAAUCUCAAAGAACUUGGUGACCUAUCUCACCGCUGUUCUCCACGAAAGCAAAGUCACUGCAGCCAGGAAUAUGUCCGCCUGGGUCGGAGCUUGCUUCUUCACGCCACUUUUUGGGGGUUUCAUUGCAGACACUUACUGGGGGAGAUACUGGACAAUUGUCGGUUUCUUCCCACUUUAUGUGGUUGUAAGUUCAAAGAAAGCAUUUCAACAAAUUUUCUUCGCACUGUCCGUUGCUUGUCCAUGUCUACAACUCUGAAUAUAUUAUUAUAUAUAUAUACAUACCCUUCCAUUUUCAUCACAGGCAAUGGUCGUUCUUAUAGCCUCUGCAUCCCUUCCCAUAUUCUCAACAUCUUCUGACCAUGGGGGCAGCGUUCAUCGAGCAUUCGUUUACCUUGGAAUGUACAUCGCUGCCAUUGCCAGCGGUGGUGUCAAGCCAUGCACGUCAUCCUUUGGGGCUGACCAAUUUGACACCAAUGACCAUGCAGAGCUGGUGACCAAGGGCUCCUUCUUCAGCUGGUACUUCUUCUUGAUCAACACCAGCAACCUGCUGUCUGGAACUGUGAUUGUUUGGCUGCAGGACAAUGUUGGGUGGGCAGUCAGCUACGUCAUA
rnacentral:lncRNA from 1 species